rnacentral:rRNA from 1 species
AUUGAACGCUGGCGGCAGGCUUAACACAUGCAAGUCGAGCGGGGGAAGGUAGCUUGCUACCGGACCUAGCGGGGUACGGGUGAGUAAUGCUUAGGAAUCUGCCUAUUAGUGGGGGACAACAUCUCGAAAGGGAUGCUAAUACCGCAUACGUCCUACGGGAGAAAGCAGGGGAUCGUCGGACCUGGCGCUAAUAGAUGAGCCUAAGUCGGAUUAGCUAGUUGGUUGGGUAAAGGCCUACCAAGGCGACGAUCUGUAGCGGGUCUGAGAGGGUGAUCCGCAACACUGGGACUGAGACACGGCCCAGACUCCUACGGGAGGCAGCAGUGGGGAAUAUUGGACAAUGGGGGGAACCCUGAUCCAGCCAUGCCGCGUGUGUGAAGUAGGCCUUAUGGUUGUAAAGCACUUUAAGCGAGGAGGAGGCUACUUUAGUUAAUACCUAGAGAUAGUGGACGUUACUCGCAGAAUAAGCACCGGCUAACUCUGUGCCAGCAGCCGCCGUAA